rnacentral:rRNA from 1 species
GUGGAAAGUGGCGAACGGGUAGAGUAACGCGUAUGUAACCAACCUCAUGCAGGGGAUAGCCCAGGGAAACCUGGAUUAAACCCGCAUAAGACCACAGUACCGCAUGAUACAGUGGUAAAAACUCCGGUGGCAUGAGACGGACAUGCGUCUUAUUAGGGUAGUUGGUGAGGUAACGGCUCACCAAGCCGACGAUGAGUAGCCGACCUGAGAGGGUGAUCGGCCACAUUGGGACUGAGACACGGCCCAGACUCCUACGGGAGGCAGCAGUAGGGAAUAUUGCGCAAUGGGGGCAACCCUGACGCAGCCAACGCCGCGUGAGUGAUUGAAGGUUUUCGGAUCGUAAAGCUCUGUUCUGGGGAAGAUAAUGACGGUACCCCAGCAGGAAGCUCCGGCUAAAUACGUGCCAGCAGCUGC